UACUUUUUUCUCCUGACUCCCAGUUGUUUACUCUAUCCGUCCAUGUAUAGUACACAAACCUACCAAUACUCUAUUCGACGUAGGACGCCGGUGGACGUGGUUAAAGGCCCACCGUCCUUCACCUCGACUGCUUGAAACGGCUCAUGAGAAGAGAGGUUCAGUACCAACGUAAAUACAGAGACAACACACAUGUAUCACUUCGGGCACUAUGCUAAAAAGGCUGAUGUGUUUAGCCAUGUGCAGCGAAGUACGUAUAAAUGAGGAUGCUAGAAAUGGACCCACCACGUUAGAAGAAAAGAGAAAGUAUGGAGAAGGCUUAUGGAUGCACUGAAGACAAGGUGAUGGUUGUAAUGGAAGACACAGGAGACAAUAAAGUGGAGAUGAGAUGGCUAUUUAAGUGCGCUACGACGACGCUCAGCAGGGGCACCUGAAGUAGAGUAUUUGCGCUGAAAGGAAAGAAAAACAAACUUAUGCAGGAAUAAAAUGUAAUUUCACCUCAGCAGGAAUACAGAACAUGGAAGAGCCGGGCAGAGUAGCACAUAACACAGCAGUACCACACCUUGGAAGAUCCUCGACUGAGACGCAGCGCUCAUGAGGUUUUUCAUUCCCUCCCUGACGCUCAGCUCAUGACCCGCACCGCAGAACAGACACGUGGUUAUUUUCAUGAGAUCUAGCGAUAUAUGGUAGUUUCGAGAAUUAUUAACGAUCCUAAACAGCAGCAGUGAGGCCAUUCAUCUGUUAAACUGAUCCACAAGCAUUGGUAUAUUUUGAUUAACACACAGGUACAGUACGCUUUCACAUAAGCACGUGAAGAACUUUAAAUAAUAUCACAGAAUUGCGUCAGGAAGUUUCUUUAAAGCAAGAUCAAAUAACAGAUGUUUGGUUGUGCUGCUGAGGUACCGAAGUGAUGAAGUUUGAUAAAGUUACUGAGGAACGGAAAAAAAAAAAAAAAACGAGAAAGAACAGGCGGCCCAUCAUUGUGAAAUAGUCUGUCAUCAACUUCACCAGCACAGAAGUUAUCGGUAGGAAACUGGUAAGGGCGUAAUACUGAGCUGUAUAAGUGUAACAGAAGUGAUGGUGACAGCAGCAGCAGUAGUAGUAGUAGUAGGAACUGCAGAAAUAGUUGUUGUAACAUAAGUAGUACUCAGAGCAGUAAUAGUAAUAGCAGCAGCAAUAGCAAUAGCAGUAGUAGUAGUAGUAGUAGUAGUAGUAGGUUAAUAAGAGGAAGCAUGGUGGUGGUGGUAUUAGUAGUAGUAGUAGUAGUAGUAGUAGUAGUAGUAGUAGUAGUAGUAGUAGUAGUAGUAGUAGUAGGUUAAUAAGAGAAAGCAGCAUCAUAGUAUUGGUGGUAAGAAAAAAUAGUAGUAGUAGUAGUAGUAGUAGUAGUAGUAGUAGUAGUAGUAGUAGUAGUAGUAGUAGUAGUAGUAGUAGUAGUAGGUUAAUAAGAGAAAGCAGAAUCAUAGUAUUGGUGGUAAGAAAAAAUAGUAGUAGUAGUAGUAGUAGUAGUAGUAGUAGUAGUAGUAGUAGUAGUAGUAGUAGUAGUA